AUUGGACCCAAAUGUCAUAUAAUUUUAAUUGGGGAUUUUUAUAAAAUUAAGAAAGUUUGGCUAAAGGGCUUAUUUGAAAAGAAUUUUAGUAUUUUGGGUCCAAGUAUAAUUUUUAAAAAUAAAUAAAUAAAUAAAUAAAUAAAAUAAAAAUAAAAUAAAAGGCUUCAGCCUUUCAUUUUACCCGAGCCCCUCUCUCUCUCUCCUCAGAAACUCUCUCCCUCUCUCUCUCUCUCUCUCUCUCUCUCUCUCUCUCUCUCUCCUCUGCGUAUUACUGUUGCCGACGACGCAGGAGUACUUUCCGGCCACCAUUUUUAGCCACGCGCCGGACCGUUGGAUUCAGAGGCCUCCGAACUAUCGACCCACGCGGGAAUCUAGAGCUCACUCGCCGAUUAAACGCCUCAACCACUCGAUUUAAGUUCGGCCACCCCGCGACUUCAAAGUUGCGAUUCGGCCACCUCGGGCAUCCGUUUGCCGAUCCGUCACCACCAUCGUGUUCCUCGUGUUGUGGGCUUCAAAACCCAAUAACUUGUUCCUACAUCUACCAUAGUUGGGUGGUGGGCCCACCACGAGCCACCGCGAUCCACCGUAGACCGACGGUCGAAACUUAGUGUUCGAGGUUCCGAAGUACGUUUUGAGUCUCAGAAAAUCAUCGUUUGACUUAUUGUGGAACCCGAUCAUUUUGGAUUUGUAUGGAUUUGAUUGAUUGACUCUUGGUGAGCCGUUUUAAAAUAAGCUAAGGACCUAAGGUGUGGCUUUAGCUGUUGAGCAACUUGUGGAGCACGGACUCAGUAGCAAUGCAAUAAUGGUUUAGAGUUUUCAUAUGGCUGCCUUAAAUUUAAAGUAUUCAUACGUGUAAUAAUUUCUUCUAAUAAGUUUAUAUAAAAGUUUUAAAUUUUUCUGUAUUUCUUCGUAUCAUUUUAUUUAAUUCUUUUGGUCAAGUGCCUUACAUACUCGUAAACCCUAGAAUUACGAGUAUGUGGCAGACGUACCCUACCUUAGGGACGUUA